GAUGAACGCUGGCGGCGUGCCUAAUACAUGCAAGUCGAGCGAACAGAUUAUCAGCUUGCUCCUCUUACGUUAGCGGCGGACGGGUGAGUAACACUUGGAUAACCUACCUAUAAUACUGGGAUAACUUCGGGAAACCGGAGCUAAUACCGGAUAAUAUAUUUAACCGCAUGGUUCAAUAGUGAAAGACGGUUUUGCUGUCACUUAUAGAUGUAUCCGCGCCGCAUUAGCUAGUUGGUAAGGUAACGGCUUACCAAGGCAACGAUGCGUAGCCGACCUGUGAGGAUGAUCGGACACACAGGAACUGAGACACGGUCCAGAGUGCUACGGGAGGCAGCAGUAGGGAAUAUUAGGCAAAGGGCGAAAGCCUGACGGAGCAACGCGGCGUGGGUGAUGAAGGUCUUGGGAUCGUAAAACUCUGUUAUUAGGGAAGAAGGAAUGUGUAAGUAAAUAUGCACGUCUUGACGGUACCUAAUCAGAAAGCCGCGGCUAACUAGGUG
rnacentral:rRNA from 1 species